AGGACCAUUUUUCAACCCAAAUGGCAACCUACAAAACUCGCAUUUUCCGUUGUUCACAGAAAAUGCAGUUUUUUCCCUAUCUUUUUCAGCAAGUGUAAUCUAAUGAAACCCAGAUUUCAAGUCUACUGUCGUAAAAAUUGAUGAUUUUCCUAGAUUUGAAAGAAUUACGGAUGUGUCAAGAAUCGAGUAUUUGUCGCUAAAGGUAUUUUCGUUAAGUUUCUUGAAAUCUAUGACCAUUCGAAGUUUCUUUUUCCCUUCGUCAUUUAUUCCUUUCUUGUGAACAACCCACACUGGACUAUUGUAUGGUGAGCGAGAUGGUCUAAUGAUGCCGUCUCGCAGAAAAUCAUUUACUUCCUAGUUAACAAAUUCAGACGCUGCCAUAGUAUAUGGAUAAGAUUUAGUGUAAACUCGAUCAUUGUUAGUUGUUCUCACGGUUGCUAUGGUUUGUAUUGAACGGGAAUGCCUCGAUCGGAUCAGAAAGUAUGGCUUCGCCUUUAGUCGUUACAAUGGAAAUACAUUAGUUUUUCUAAACCCCUUUCAUAAAAUUCCUUUCUUUAUGUCCAGCUUUGCAUCGAUUUUCCUAAAGAGGUCAUAGCCAAUUAUACCGUCAAACGUGUUAAGUGUAGGUAAAAUAAAAAAAUCGAAAUUCAAAUUGAAAACGUCUCGUCUGAAAUGUCUUCUCGGUUUUCACCAAAUUGGAAGUCAUUAUCGAAAUAUACAAAAUCAUUAUAUUCAUUUUGUUGAUCAUCUUUGUAUACUUCGAUGAAAGGAUAUUGAUCUAAACGGUUUAUGCGUUGCAAUUUGUUGUCAAAGCAGUCGCUAUCGUGAUGUUUUUUUUGGGCUACCUGGAUACGGGAGGUUCUUUCGUUUUGAUUCCCAAAAGCGGUUCUUCCUGAAGGAAAAUCUCUGGUAUUAAAGGAUUCGAUGGAAUGGCAUUAAAUGAACUCACUUGUGGUGUGCGAGAUUCAUUCGAUCGAUAAUUUCUUUGAGGGACUCGAAAUCUGAAAAGACUUGGGCGUUGGUCGUGUCUGAGGUUGACCAUUUUGUUGUCUAGGGAAUGGUAUACUCUUUCUCACAUGAGGUCGACUGUAGUCGGGAAUUUUAUUAUUAGAAAAUGAAAAUCUGUGAGUGUACACUUAACUCACCUUAUAGGCCACUCACAAUUAUUGUCGUAAGGAAAAAUGCACUAAAUUACGAAAAUCGUUAUAAACCUUUUAUUUCCUUCAAAUUCACUUAAGAGUAUUAUUAUAAAAUGAAUUUCAAUUUACUAAACACUAGGUUUCAGACCGUUAAAUAUAUAUUAUAUAUAUAUACACAUUGAGGAAAGUUAUUAUGAAAAUUAUUUUAAUAUUAAGUGAAAACUUUAACUAUAUAAAUGCGGGUAGCGAACGGGAACCGGGAUGCUGAGAGGCUGCGAAAAUCGAUGUUGCUUGGACGACGUCGUAUCAACGAAAGGUGCGCGCGCUGCUUUCUCUAUUCCUUUUGUUAUAAUUAGACUGCAGAAUGUCAUCGCGUUUGGGUGCAUGCGCGUGUAUGUGUGUUAAUGUGUGGUGUUCGCUCGCGUGAUGAGGUGAUUAGUCGAUUCGGUGUGAUGAAUUGAUGCAGAUGUGAUGCGACGUCGCUACUCAUUUAGCCAGUGAGCAAAUAACGAACGCGCCUGACUUGAUUCAAGCUUCUGAGAGGGUGCUAAGGCCGAUGCCAUAUCUGAUGGCCUUGAUGAAAAUAAGAUAUCACAAAGUGGACGGUUUAGUCCGGAUAUAAAAACUCUUAAUGCAUCCUGGCGAUAUUUGGAAUUCAAGGAUUCCAAAACAUUCUUCUUAUUUUGAUAGGUCAUUAAUGUUUUGUUAAUAAUGGCUGUUAAUUUCUUUUCGAUUUCAUCAUAAAAUUCGGUUAUUGUCUGUCUUCCCUGGCGAAGGGUAGACAUUUCCUGUUCCAGUAUGUAAACGGGUUUCUUAUCCGCAUAGUUAAAGUCAAGCCUAGCUAUUAUUGCGUCGAAAUUUAGGAUUGUUUACUCACUUGUUUUUGGAGCCUUUUCCAGACGUCCAAUUAUUUUUAUGCGACACCUUUGACUUCCGUUAGUAACCACCAGUUGUGGGUGGUUUGUAAGCCACUUUUGCACGUAUGUAUGUAUUUAGGAACUGAACAGCAAACACUUUCGAACGUAUAUGUGGUUUAGGAAAUUAUCAGCACGCACUUUGAACGUAUGUAUGUGAAAAUGAGAAUUUAGCAGCAACCACUUUGAAUGUAUGUAUGUGAAAAUGAAAAUUUAGCAGCAACCACUUUUGAUCGUAUGUAUGUGAAAAUGAAAAUUAUCAGCAACCACUUUGAACGUAUGUAUGUGAAAAUGAGAAUUUAGCAGCAACCACUUUUGAUCGUAUGUAUGUGAGUAUCGGAAAACACGUUUGUGCACUUGUAUUUGAAAAUUUGAAGACACUUUUAUGCGCUUUUAGUUGAAAUAUUGGAAAACACUUUUAUGCGGUUUUAUUUGAAAUAUUGGAAAACACUUUUAUGCGAUUUUAUUUGAAAUAUUGGGAAACACUUUUAUGCGCUUUUAGUUGAAAUAUUGGAAAACACUUUUAUGCGGUUUUAAUUUAAAAAAGUUCACUUGUAAAAAACACGUUGCUGUCCUCACUCGUGCUAACUCAUCUAGCCAGGAUGGUAUUAAAGGAAGACAGGAUCGAAUCUGCAGAUCCCACUAUUUUAUUCCUUAUUAUGGCCACUGCCUGAUAGUGUUUGGAACUGCCUUGUGCGUUUUGAAAGAUUUUAUAUUCCGUGUGAGCUGCCUGACGCCACGACACGUAUCGAGACUGGUCGCCAGCGAACUUGGGCAAGGAUUUGACUAUGUCCAAGGAUUCAUCACACCUAACUGUCGUGUUGAAUGAAAUUUCCCUACAGCUAAUAUCCUUAACUUUUUUCUGUCACUUUGUUACAAUAUUAAUCAGUAUCAACUAAUGUUUUAUACCUUUCUUAUUCUAAAUAUUACGGUAUGAGCACUCUAUUUACAGCUUCAUAUCCAAAUAAAUGGUGUCCCUGAAGUUCUUCUCUUCUCUUCUUGCUUCACAAAAUCUCCUUUAUGCUGGGUUGUGGUUUUUCUCUUUUCACUGGAAUCGCUUUGAAUUUUAACUUUCACGUAAAUAGUUGUUUUAUCCUUUGAUUUCGAAUAAUAGUUUAUGCUGGUUUACACUAUUUUUCUUUUCACAUGAAUAUUUUUGAAUUAAAUAGCUUUUUAUCUUUUGAUUUCAAAUAAACGGUUUUGUUUUUUUAUUCUUUCUCUCCAUACGAAUUUUAUUUUAACUUCACGUAAAUAGUAUUUUUUUCUUGUUCAAAAUGGGUUCGAACCCACGGCCACAUUGGUUUAUCCUUUAUAAGGACUGUUUCGCGUGGCCCCACGUUGGCCGCCAGUAAAUAAAACACAAGGUUUGGUUAAUUAUUUUUAUUUCCCAACUAUGUAGGGCAGCCGUUCGCGACGAUCGAGUUAUUAGAACUGACUUUUCGGUGCUGCACCUGAAUACCUAACACCUAUCAAAUCCACUUGCCAUCACUUCACGUUGCCACGGUUUGGGACUCUUGGUGUCGUUUGCUACUGGCAAACGUUUCCGUUGUUAUGUCUGCAACAUGAGCCUCGCACCUUUGAUGUUUUUGCUUGCGUUGCAAUCACAGGCAUAACUGCACCUGUUGUUAGCGGCUACUGUGAUAUGUUAACUAGCAUAUUUUCCAGCUUUAGCAGUACAGAGAGAUUGACUCAGUUAACAAUUGUUAACUUAUAUACAAGUUACAAAAAAAUCGACUUUGAACCUAAAUAUAAGAUUGUGGAAUUUUUCCAAAAGCAUUGCCGUUAACGCUUAUUGAAAUCCCUCUGCGUUGGCGGCGUGCUGGAAAUAGUUGAAGAAGAGUUGCCACACACGCGGCAUUCUGAAAAAGUAAUAGACGAAAUGAAUAAAACAAAACCUACUAUAGACACUGUGGCUAGUAAACUAGCAAGCUUAUUAUAUAAUCCAUUUAUAAAACUACAAACUUCGAACUGAAGGGUUUCGAUGGUAAGGUCUUCUGUUGACUGUCCGAUGCUCGGCAAAAUUGUUUACAAGUCUCAUUAUGGUCCAUCUGCUCGGAGGAUUGCCGCCAAACGUGCGCCUAUACUCUCUUUGAACCGAAACUACGGACUCCAGUGCAUGAUAGCGGCGGACAAUCCAAAUUCUUGUUUCAGUGUCCCAGUUAUCCAUUUUUGUUAAAUGUAAAAGUCAAUCUGCAAAAUAAAAACAAAAAUUAACCAGAUUCUUUAAAUAGAAAAAAAGUUAUUUAAUUUUUUUUUGGUAGCGGGUUUCAUCAGCAACCCAGUAUAUAAAUGACUGUUCAAUUAUAGACCCAAUUUCUUGGGGAGCACACACCUUACUUAAAUUGAAAAUGUCUGUAUAGAUUUUAGAAUUUUAUUUUAAACAAUAAAUUGAUAUCUUAUAAAGUUAUUAAAUAUUUUAUUAAGUUAUUAACACAAACAUUGGCGAGACUCCAAUGCCGAAGACGAUUUGCUGUUGCUGGCGAUCGAGUUGACGCGGAUCGUCGUCCAAUUCAAACAUACAUACGUAUAAGUAUGUUGCAGAGAGGCGGACCG